rnacentral:pre_miRNA from 1 species
UUCCACUUCAAUUCCGUAGUGCAUUGCAGUGUUACAAGUGAAAUAGUUCCUGCAAGCAAUGCGGGAUUGUGGGGGCAUU